rnacentral:misc_RNA from 1 species
UAUGACUACUGGCAGGAUCAACCAGGUAGCAUUCCUCAUUGAUGCCGACACCGCAUGAGCAAGAGGACCAAUAUUAUCCUCCAGUCAAUGCAGGGCACGACAUGCUUCAACAAGGGACAUUUAAUUCGAGCAACAAGGGGUCAAAGGCCCCGACCGAUCACGUUUCUGCAUACAAGACUUCGAGCGACACAAGGACAUCCGAUACCUGCUUUAAGCCAAAAUGGCCAAGCAAGGACAAAUGUCCAAGUGGGCUUUUCAAUGUCUACAUCGUACAAAACAUUUAGCACGAGAUAGAGAAGAGAUCAUGGGACUAAGAAAUUCCGUCAUAUUAGGUAUGCUCACAGGGGGCCAAGCCAACCAAGGCAAAAGGUUUUACACUCGGACUGAACUGAAAAGGUGUGAUCCCAUGAUUGUCGCUACCGAGGCAGGGAACCAACCACAGGGAACAAACC